rnacentral:RNase_P_RNA from 1 species
UUAUAGAUGAGAGAGGAAAGUCUGGACCUUAAAAAACCAAGAAACGGUUAAGAGCCGUCCAUAUAAUUUAUUAUAUGAGGGAAAGUGUCACAGAAAAUAAACAGUGAAAUCUUUUAACGAAGACCACAAUGGUGAAAAGGUGGGGUAAGAGCCUACCGCUCUUCUUAUAAAAGAAGAGGCAUGACAAACCCUUCUUAAGGCAAGAUUAAGCAGUAUGUACUAUCAUUGGUUUUAUGAUUUCAUACGGGUAGAUCGCAAAAAUUUUAUUAGUAAUAAUAAUAAUAAGACAGAUGUUUUCUUAAAAACAGAAUCCGGCUUAUACU